UACGAAGGGGGCUAGCGUUGUUCGGAAUUACUGGGCGUAAAGGGCUCGUAGGCGGCCAACUAAGUCAGACGUGAAAUCCCCAGGCUUAACCUGGGAACUGCGUCUGAUACUGGAUGGCUUGAAUUCGGGAGAGGGAUGCAGAAUUCCAGGUGUAGCGGUGAAAUGCGUAGAUAUCAGGAAGAACACCCGUGGCGAAAGCGGCUCUCUGGAACGGUACUGACGCUGAGACGCGAAAGCGUGGGGAGCGAACAGG
rnacentral:rRNA from 1 species